rnacentral:piRNA from 1 species
UGCCUCAGACAUGUCACUGCAAACGGAGG